GUCCAGGUCCUAUGCAAGGAGCUGCUGCCAAACCCCGUCAGAUCCGGAAGGAAGCAGCGGUAGGAAGUUGGUUUCUGUGCCGUAGUGUACCUGGGCUCU
rnacentral:SRP_RNA from 1 species